rnacentral:misc_RNA from 1 species
UGUAUAGGCACCAUAAUGAGGAUAAUUACCAGAAGGCGUGUCAAAGUUCGCGUGACGGUACGGAGGGGUGAUGGAAGCGUGACGAGCCAUGGUUGGGCCUUCCAUAGAAAGCGGGAUGAGGACGGCCAUGAGAGAAAACAAGGUGAGAGUGGGGAUGAUGAAGGGGUAACUCCUAAAGAAGCGCAGAGUGCGGCUGGUGAACCCCCUCCGCCCACCCCUGACUCUUCUCACUACGAUACCGUCUGUGAUGAUAGGGACCUCGACGUUGAAUUAGAAGAAGAUGCCGACUAUGAAGAUGCUCAUUACGAAGAUACUAAAGGCUCAGGCAUAUAUGAGAAUUUAGAUAAAGAUUCGGAGAGGAUAUACGAAGAGGUUGGGAAGAAAGGUUUGAGGGUCCGCUUCGAAGGUGAUAAUAAUGAAGAAGAUGGAGAUGAUGGAAGCCUCUACUCGACUGGUGCCAUACCAAAGAGAGGCAGCACCUCUACCUUGACGGAGGAGGAGGAGGAGGAAGAGGAGGAAAGAGGGGGUAAAGAAGUAGAGGAAGAGCAAGAACAAGAUGAUGAUGGACAGAUAUAUGAGACAAUUGGGGAGUUCCGUCAGAGCACCGAGCCGAAAGACCCCACGAGAGAUGACAGGAAAGGCGAGACAUUGACGAGGGAAAGUGAGACGUAUAUAUACGAUGAACCGAGAAAGAUCGAGGUAACGGUGACAUCCAAGAGAGAAGGUGAUGAUUUUGAGGACAGGAAGUAUAAUAGUGAUAAACCAAAGGGGAAAAAGAGAGGGAAGGUGGAGGUUAAGUUCACCCCUUGGCAAACAGAAGGUCGUGGACAGAGAACAAAGAUAAUAAACGAUAAGUGUAAUGAUGGCGAUGAAAACCUGAAAGUGGAACAGACGACAAAAUUUUCUUGCUGUGACGGAAACGGAUCCAGACAUAAGACAGGGGAUGGUGACAGGGGGGAAAUGGGGUCCCCGUAUGAGCUUCACCACAGGUCCAAGAUUGAAGUCACCUCUGAGAAUAUGAGUGAUGGUGGUUGUGAUGGUGGUGAUGAUGGUGACGCGGGAGGUAACACGACCAAGAACAAAAAAUCGUCUUGUGGUCAUCAAUGUGUAGAUGAUGAUAAUGAUGAUGACGACCUCGAUGACGAUGAUUUUGGUGAUGAUGAAAGUACCAUCUACCAGCGGGGGAGACAUAGAGUGAAGAAAAGGACGCUGAUAAGGGUGAGAGGAGUGGGUGUGGACAUGGAUAAGAACCAGGACCUAGAAGCAGCUGGCAGGGCCCUAGUCAAGACCUUCACUAAAACAAUCGUCACGUUCGGAAGAGAUAGUAGCAGUUGCAGCGAAAGGACGCGAGAGUCUAAACCAGACGGCUCGACUUCUGAUCCCGAAAAAUCAGAGGGUUCAAGCUCGUCAGUCAUCAUCCUUGAAACAUACGGCGCUGACCCUAACAUCUUGAGGAGCGACCAGGAGGAAGAAGACUCCACAGAUACCGGCACUGAGGUUACCCAAGACUCCUCGCCACCAACCAGCGACUCUUCCUUAAACUUAUCCAAUCUAUCUGGAGUCUCAACUCUAAGAUUCAGUCCAGAUUACCGACACUCGAAUGAAAGCGACGACGGCAGCUACACCGACCCAGGAUCUCAGACUGACACCUCCACUGACACUCUUGUCGCUGACGUCACCCACUACCAGACUGAUGUUGUGGAGGUGAGGGAGGCGUAUGUGGAGUAUGACCAGGUGACUGGAGCCUUUAUAGAGUUCCCGGACACUGAGGUGGCACACAGCCAAUCCGAAAACACUCCGGACACACUCAUACAAUACCCCGACGCUCACGUUACGUACAGAGAGUACGACCACAGCUCUGGUGCGUACAUAGAGUAUCCAGGUACACGAGACACAUACGACCACAGCUCUGGUGCGUACAUAGAGUAUCCAGGUACACGAGACACAUACGACCACAGCUCCGGGGGAAUUAUAGAAUAUUUAAGCCGGAAAGAAACUUUAUACGAGAAACAGCAGACUACAGGAGCCUUUAUUGAAUACCUGAACGAUAAUAGUGGAGACGAGGACCUCACACGAAGCCCGACCAUCGAGGAUUUAAGUUCCUUAGGGGAGAACGGCGACUCCUUCUUUGUGAACUUUGAGGAAGAGUUAGAGCGAGUGGAAAGGCAGUAUCCGAACUUGCAAGCUGAACAUUUAUUAGCCGGCCAGGAGACAGAAGAACAGGAAGAACUCGUAGACGUUCCUCUGUGGGUUUGUGAAACAGUAAAAGAACUCAACCGGUGCGCGACCAUCACUGAGGAGGACGAAGAGGAGGAGGAGGUGGUGGUGGUGCAGCGAGAGAAGCUGGAGACCUCCAACAUGGGCCAGUACUACUCCAGCGCCUCGGGGGGCGGGCCCUCCAGAGGCGAAAUGUCGGGAUCUUUACCCUCGUCGCCUCGGUCCUCAGAAGAAUGGAGAAUGUCGAUGGCGUCCACAGCGACGGUGGCGUCCACAGCCACUGCAGACAGCGAUGACACUCUGGCCAAGGACAUGUCGGAGCUCUCGUCUGUCAACUCUCGUCUCUCGUGCCUGGAUGAGGUUCAGGACGAGGUGAGACACCCCUCUUCUACCCCUUCUGGGGUAGACCCAAGCGCCGCACACAAACUCACACCGCAGUCCAACCACAAGCGGCAGACGAGCAUCAAGGACGCUAUUGAUGAGCUUGAGAGUAUUGAACAAGCUGCCCAGACGCUACUGCAGAAGCGACAGUUCUCUACCGAGGACGAUCGUACGACACCAGUCUCAGCCUCUGACACAGUGACUGUCCUCCCCACUAGUGUGAGUGAUACUAAAGUGACUCUCAGUGAGAAGUUCAGUCCACAGUCUAAGAGAAAAGUGACGCCAAGUUCACCAUCACUCCGAAGUGAGACUCUCGUAGAAGAAACAGAGAACACACUGCCGACACACACACCCGAGGAGGAUAAGACGAACACCGGGUCAUCCAGCGAGCAAGUGGACACGAUCAUUACACCUGCCAAGACUGAUAAGGAGACGCCAUGUCCAAGUGUUGAAACCUCAGUCACUCCGGCAGAUCUUACUGUUAAUGGUGACUCAACAACCAAGCCGACGAAGGAAGAUCAAGUGGUUAACUCCAAGUCGGAAGUGAAGCCGCCUCUUCCCCCGACGGCAGGAGGCCAGCCGCCCAAGCUAGAAGUUAAGCGUCGCUUGUGGUCGAGGUCUAAGGAGCUCCAGCCUUACAUCUCGCGAGAGUCUUACAACGACGACAGAGUGUUGAAGGAACUGGAGAGGUUACGCCGUAGUUACCAAGAGAGUGACCUGAACGACUUCUUGGACGCUCUGGAAAAUACGGCCAUUUCCGACGACAUUGAGGAAGCUUUCCUACGUCAGCUGCUGGUGGACAUCAGCGAGGAUGUCGAGGACGGGACUCGGGAAGCCGAGGAUUCACCUCAACUGGAGGAGGAGACGAUAGUCGCCGCCACGCCAGAGACCGUAACUCAGGUGGCUGAUGAGGUGCCGCCAGAACCCCCCCGACCAUCACCUGCCACAAGCAAGUUUGAGAAGGUCAAAGAGAGAAUUUUGGAGAUGAUAACAAUACGUAGAGCUGGGAGGGUCAUAGACACCACCAACUGUGAGACACCCACCAGCUGUGAGACACCCACCAACUGUGAGACACCCGCCAGCUGUGAGACACCCGCCAGCUGUGAGACACCCGCCAGCUGUGAGACAACCUCAACUCUGAGAGAAGACUCUAAGAGCUUGACUGAGGAUUCUGGUCGUUUCGAAACUCCUCAGAUCAGUAGGUCGAUCACACCUCAGUCACUCAGACCAGACACACCAGACUCCAAGUCCAGCAGACCACAGACUCCAGAUGUGACCAAGGGAGAGGAGGGCAAGAAGAGCUUCAACAUCACAGAGUUCUUGAAGAAAGGUUCACCCAAGUACCUGAGAAAGAAGUACAAGGAGAGAAAGAACCGUAAAUCAGAUGUGUUGACAACGUCAGAGAGCGAGAGUGAGGACCCAGAGGCCGGGAAGAAGGAUAUCGGAAAUGGUAACAGUUUGUCUCAGAGGAAAGUACCAUUUACGGGAAGUCAGUCAAGUCUAAAGGGAAGCAAUCGAUCGCUGAGCACCUCACAAGAACUCAAAAAGGAAGUUCGCUUUGAUCUUGACGGUGAAGAACAGAAGAAAGGUUUGGAGGAUACAAGUGGCAGAGACGCCAGAACCGAGUUAACAACACCGGUGAGAGUCGAGGAGAAGUGGAAAGAGCAACACAGAUACUCGGGUCCUCAGAUGAUCACGUGUGAGGCGCAGCUGCAGGAGACCGUCAUACUGAAGGAGUUUGAAGAGACGACGCAGGAUAUGGAGAGCGACACGUCCUUUCCGCUACCCACCACAGUACUCGACAUAAACAGCCGAGCAGAAACAUUACUCCCGAGGCUGCCUGAGAGAGUUAGGCCACCCAGGAAGAAGAAGAAACUCAUCCCCACGUCUGUUGAGGAGCUGAGUGGUGGAGACCUUUCUGAUAACUCUACCUCCACUGUGACCUCCAACAGCUCACUGAAGGCGGUGGAUCCCAGAACGGAGUCGCUGAGAGUCAACGAGGCAGCCAAGGAGGAGUCACCCCCGCCCCUCCCUCCAUAUGAAGAAAUUAUCGAUCUGCCUAAAACUAAACCCAAAUGUGUUGAGGUGGUGGAAAUGACCCGGUCUGAGGGCGUGACCUCGGAGGUGAGAGAAGAGUUUGUAAUGACAGUGACCGAAGAAAGUGUUAAGAAUAUUGAGUCAUCCUUAUCCGUGUCUUCAUCCGCCUCGAUGACGCUACUCCCUGACACCACUGUGACAUCCUCCACUCCUGCCACCACUACUGUACCACCACCACCACCACGCUCUGCCACUGUUGCCACGUCCUCAGCUGCCGCAUCUACUGGGACUACGACGGAGAGUAUGUCUGCUCCACCACCCAUCCCGCCCGCCCCGUCACCAUCCAGCCUCUCCACCUCAGUUGUUGAGGUGGAGGUUCUCGUGUCGCCGCUGCCUGUGACCUCCGUGGCAUCCAUAUCUGUUGCUCCGUUACCUGAGAGUGCCACGCUGGUGGUGUACCCCGCCAGGACCUUACCCCUGCCUGUAAUCCCCGAGUCCCUGCAGGAGGACCAGGUGUCCCUCCCCACUCCCAGCGAGCCCACCGUCUCAUUCAGCAGCCUCGGAGGGUCGGCACCAACCACGCCGCAGGCUGGGGAGGAAAACCUUCCCUCCCUCUAUGAUAACGUCAACCCCUUCAAGGAGAUGCUGGAGCUGGAGGCUAGACUUCUCGAGGGCGAAGUAUCUGAGCCUCCAACUGUUACCACCACUACAGUAAACGUUAGUUCCGAGUUGACGAAAGUAGAGACAUGUGAAGUGCCACAACCGGCCCAGGAGGUGACGUCAGGCCACUUAAGUCUUCCGCAGGCAGCUCGCCAGAGCCCUGACUUGGAGAAGAAUGAAGUAGUCGACCUUGACGCGCUUGCAGCUCUGACCGCUGAGAUGUUUAACUUCACCGACGGCUUGGAUAAAAAAGUUCCUUGGAAUAAAAACAAGAAAAAGGAAAGUUAUAAAGCACCGGUUGCUGAGGUCAAUGAAGUAUCUGAUACGUCCACAUCUGUGAUGAAGUCAGAGCGUCUGACGGAGAAAGUCAUUGAUGAAUCGGUAACAACAGCUGAGGAACUUGAGGCUGCAUCCUCCACGACGCUCUCACUACCACCACAAGACGAAGUAAGAGUUAAGAAAGAGACUAAGGAAAUUGUGACACAAACAGAGCCUGAGAUACCCUCUCGAGGCCUGUCUGUGAGGGAGGUGGCCAGGAGCAACACCAUCGCCAUACAGACCGACGCCACCAGGUAUGUUCGGAUGUACGAGGCCGCCUCACAGACCGACACGGAGUAUGAAACUGACCUCGAGACCGAAUCUGAAAUAGAAGAAAACACGACGAACAAAUACGACCCCGGCAAGUGGUUAUACCGACCGACCAGAGAGAACAAGGUGCCGCUGCCCACACCCAGAGACCCCCAGCUCCAGGAGCUGCACAGACAGCAGCAGGCAAUGAUACAGGAGCUGCAGAAACAGACCGUCAUGCAGGAGCGGCGAGAGAAGGACAAGCCAGAGGCGCCACCACGUCAAUUCCAAGACAAGAUGCCCCUGAAGGUGGUGGACGAGCUGAAGAACGUUCUCUCCGACGUGGACGAGGCCGGACCCAAGCUGAAGAAGGUGGGCGAGCCUCCCCCCCGCUGGGACUCAGACCUCACCUGGGAUAACGAUGACCUGGCAACUAUACCCGAGGAGGCGCUCAUGACGAGUGCCAGAAUGGUGGGCGGCAGCGGUGGCGACACUCAUCAAGCACUGCCCGGAGUCACCCGAGACCUGCCACACCGCCAGCAGGAGGCAGCAACGCCCCGUCAGGAGAGCCCAGCCAAGCAUGUUAAAGCCUUACAGGAACUUGGUCUGGACGAGUCGACCCUCCUGACCGAGAUCGAACAAAUACUCGGAUUCGGUUCGCUGUCCUCCUCCAAGAACCGAACGGAGAAAGCGAACGGCAUCUCGGCUACUUCCUGUCAACCGGACACAUUCGAAAAACCGGUUAAGUUGGAAAAGCCGAGUUCGAAGACUUCCGGCGGCAAACCACUAGUUCCGGAACGUGAUUCAAGCAAAGGAGUGUGGUCGCCGGGGAGGUCUGGCGAGGAACGCACCGGGCCCUCCAAGAUUGACCUCCCUGACCUCCCGUCCUUCAAGGAUCAACCCACCGUGUGGAGUCCCGGCAGAGGCCAGCACUACACGGGACUCACCCAGAGCCGUGUUCCUGAGACCCGAGCUGACCACCCCAACCCUCGCUACACCUCGGGGAGCGCGAGUCCGAGCCUGGGCCGGAAGGAGUACCGCAAGGUGAACUACGACGGCCAGACCACACCCCAAAGACGCCCCUCACAGGAGAACGUGUUAAUCCCACGGCCAGAGGAGAGCUUCGCUUGGAAGGACAUCAAGGUGGAUAAGGUGGCCCGUUCUCCUACCUCCACCCUGCCCAAGGUUCAGAACCCUACCGUCACACUCCUGCAGAAGAAGCGAGAUGAUCCGCAUUCGACCUCAGAGGGUCAGAUCCCCGGAAAACGACCAGAGUACUUGAAACCUGAUGACAUUGGUCCCAAGUACAAACCUGACGACAAAUUAUACAUCAUCAAGAGAGAGUACGAGUCAGAAGACGAGGAAGGAGGGCGUCGCUUCGCUGUGUUAGGGCCCAAGAAGGUUCAAGGGGUGGGCCCCACAACCCAGGACGGGGUCCCUACCACCCUUAAGUCGCAAACUGGGAAUUCAGGAGACUACAGGAGCGUUUGUUAUGACCAGGAGAGGUACCGGGAACUGUCUGGCCACACUGGGAGAGUUGGCAUGUUUGAUAAUACAGCAGGUGUAAAAUCAGAGCACCAAGGAGAGUGGUACAGAAGGAUGUUUGACUCACUGCAUAAAGUAAAAGAUGAACACUGUGGAAACGACCACAUCAUCAUCAAAUACAAAGUCCCCAGAGCACGUUAUGGGGGGUACAUGUCGGAGCCUGAGGGUUACGACUCUGAUGUUGGCUCCUCCCGCUACGCCACCCUCGACCGACGCCGCCAACACCACUUCGAGGUGGACCCCAUGACCGCCAGCCUGCCCAGAGACUACAACGUCGACCUGGACCCCUUCAGUAGGAACUCCAACCGCUACGUACACCAGCCUGGCCGUAUUGAAGACUAUGUUCCUGGGUACUCCUCACUCUCGGAGAAGGAGCUGAAGAAGUUUUUACAGUCCAGAACACCUAAUCCGGAGGCAGACAUAAAGCUUGAGACACAGACACAAGAGCCUCCACCGGUGUCUGUUAACCAUAGGUACAGUUCACAGAAGAUGUCCAUGACCCAUGCUUUGAAGGAAUCCGGAUACGAGAGCGACAGUACCCUAGUGUUCAGGAAGCGUGAGGACGCCCGCCGUCAGGCCCCCGACCCCAGGAAGACGAGCCAAGUGUAUCGUCAGAUCCAGCGAGGAGGUGACAUCCCACUAACUGGUCUUCAGAAAGCCAACCCACCCAAGCCAAGAGAGCCGGUGGUGGGUCCUCUCCCGUUCCCCUACCUGUCGGGAGGGCAUCAGGCACCCCCCGCCCGCCCAGAAUCACCAUAUAAGUAUGAGUCAGGAGAAGUGAACAUCCACUAUCGGACUCCUGUAAGGAUUGAACAGAAGGAAGCCAUCCCUGAGGAGGAGUUGGCGCGCCGUCAGGAGGAACACAUGAAGAAAGUCUACGAGAACGAGAGACGUAAGAAAUACCUGGCGGAAUUGGAAGACAUUGAGCGCCGAAGACACACUGAUAACUUUACGCCAUUACAGAAAUCCCCAAUUCCUUUGAAUCGAUACGACGAUGAAAGUAGUCUGGGCACUUUACGCGGCACCAGAACACCAGAUCUCAAGCAGGUUGCGAAGGCAUUGUACAACUUUACUGCACAAAAUAAGAGGGAACUGUCAUUCAAUAAAGGUGAAAUUGUCUUCAUCCGUCGACAAAUAGACAAGAAUUGGUUUGAGGGAGAGUUGCGAGGUUCAGUUGGUAUUUUCCCCUGCAACUAUGUUGAGAUUGUGCCUUAUGAGAACAUUAAGACACUGACCAGGAAACCUACAGAAGGUCAGGCAAGAUCCAGAUUCAAUUUCCAGGCUCAAACCUCUAUGGAGAUGUCCCUCAGCAAAGGAGAGUUGGUUGUCUUGACUCGACGUGUGGAUGAGAAUUGGUAUGAAGGACGGAUAGGUAAUCGUAAGGGCAUCUUCCCAGUCUCUUAUGUCGACACGUUGUUAGAACCCGGCAGUGAUAGACCCAUGACUCCCAGCUCCUCGCCCAUGCCACGACCCGCUCUACCUGCCGCUAAUCUGCUCUACAAUGGUGCCUCCUCCUACUCCAGCCCCUACUCCACUUUGGUGCGUACUGGAAGCUAUGAUUAAGGGACGACCGGGAAGUCAAAAUGAUUCUAGACCUUACAAUCAGUCCCUCACCGUAAACACUCAGCAGGAACCUGUUGCGUAUCGCGCUCUAUACAAUUACAAGCCCCAGAAUGAUGAUGAGUUGGAACUUUUG